UACGAAGGGGGCUAGCGUUGCUCGGAAUCACUGGGCGUAAAGGGUGCGUAGGCGGGUUUUUAAGCCAGGGGUGAAAUCCUGGAGCUCAACUCCAGAACUGCCUUUGAUACUGAAGAUCUUGAGUCCGGGAGAGGUGAGUGGAACUGCGAGUGUAGAGGUGAAAUUCGUAGAUAUUCGCAAGAGCACCAGUGGCGAAGGCGGCUCACUGGCCCGGUACUGACGCUGAGGCACGAAAGCGUGGGGAGCAAACGGG
rnacentral:rRNA from 1 species